rnacentral:tRNA from 1 species
AAGACUUUAUGUUAAUAAAACUCUUGUCCUUCAAAGACAAUCAUAGGCUAUAUAGCUUAAGUCUUGC